rnacentral:rRNA from 1 species
GUGGGGAAUAUUGGGCAAUGGGCGAAAGCCUGACCCAGCAACGCCGCGUGAAGGAAGAAGGUUUUCGGAUCGUAAACUUCUAUCCUUGGUGAAGAUAAAGACGGUAGCCAAGAAGGAAGCCCCGGCUAACUACGUGCCAGCAGCCGCGGUAAUACGUAGGGGGCAAGCGUUGUCCGGAAUGAUUGGGCGUAAAGGGCGCGUAGGCGGCCUGGUAAGUCUGGAGUGAAAGUCCUGCUUUUAAGGUGGGAAUUGCUUUGGAUACUGUCGGGCUUGAGUGCAGGAGAGGUAAGUGGAAUUCCCGGUGUAGCGGUGAAAUGCGUAGAGAUCGGGAGGAACACCAGUGGCGAAGGCGACUUACUGGACUGUAACUGACGCUGAGGUUCGAAAGCGUGGGUAGCAAACAGGAUUAGAUACCCGGGUAGUCC